AUGAAAGGAGGCUGCAAGGAGAGGCUUUUCCUUCUUAUUAAUGACACCGGCGAUUGUCUAGAGUUGGAAAGAAAAGCCUGUUGGAGAAAGAGCCUUUUAAAAAGAGGACAGGCAGUGGGGGCACUCAGUUUGGGACCCCUCCUCAAUGAGACCCUCAUUGUCCCUACUUGCAGACAGUGCCGCCGAGGAAGCCGGGCUCCAGGUCGGGGACGUGGUGCUGGCCGUCAAUGGCACNNNNNNNNNNNNNNNGGAGCACGCAGAAGCCGUGCACCUUGCAAGGAAAGGUCCAGACCUCUUGACUCUGGUGGUGGGAUCCGACAUCAGCCGCUGUCCCAACACCCCCCGGCCCGCCUGCCGUGGCUACCUGCAUAAGAGGACACACUCCGGGUUCAUGAAGGGCUGGAGGAAGCGAUGGUUCGUGCUGAAGAAUGACGGCUGCCUCCAGUAUUACAGACAUAAGAAGGUAAACUGAGGGGAAGGCGGAGGGCUGGAGCGCGUCAGAACACGCCACUCUGGGGAGUGCGGUGGGUGCAUUAACAAAGGAUUGUCAUGUCAAGUCCUGCGCAUGGUGCAGGAUUCUAGAAACAGGGCUCUCUCCUGUGACUUCUAAAGAACUUUUCCUUCUCCAGAGGUUCAGAGGAGUGUAAUUUAUUUUCUCUGCGGCUGCAUAAAUCAAGGCUGGCAUGAGUUUCUAUCUCAUUUAUUCCUAUUUUCAGACGCUCUGUGAAAACUCUCUUAUCAAAGUCAAGAAAAUAGGAGCCAAACCGUAUACCUAGUGCCCUAGAGAAAUCAAGGCCAACUAAGGCAAAGCACAGCUAACACCUCGCUGGCCCGCGUGUGCGGGCACUGUUUCCUAGGCAACAGGGGCUGGUGUCCGCGAGGCUUCUGAAGCAGAGGACCUGAGAAUAUACUUCAUCUCCUCACCUAGGGCCCCGUAGAGCAGCGAUUUCUAAACAUAGGUGAAGGUUGACAGCUUCUGGGGAAUGUUCUCAGAAUAUGAGCUCUAGUCCCCUUCCCCAGUGUUUCUCCCCAUGUUUCAGCCAAGUCUGAGGUGAGGCAUGGCCUGCAGGUCUGGGGAAGGGCCUUGGGGGGACUAGCCCACGGUGU
rnacentral:lncRNA from 1 species